rnacentral:lncRNA from 1 species
AUUUUUGGGAGAAGCUAUACUAGGAGGAUAAAUAUUUUGAAGAAAAAAUGGAAAUAAAAAAUAUAGAAGAAGAACAACAUUUUUGAUAAAUCAGCAAACAGAGUAAAAAUUCAUUAAAAUUUUGAAAUGACGAAUGAAGCAAAAUUACCUGAGAGAAGAGAGAAGCAGAAGUUUAGAGUAAGAAGAAUGGUUACGAAGAGCUAAGCUUAGAUAUGUGAAACCCCUCAUCUUCUUUCUUUUUCCUCUUUACCAAAUUGUUUAAGAUUUUUAAACUUUCUCAGUAUUUUCUAGCAAAUCAGCUGUAAGCUAUGGAUCAAGUGAAGUGAGUAAUGAAACAAGGAAUGUGAAAAGGUAGGAGGCUCUAAUUGGGUUUUCUCACAAGUCUGUCUGUUUAGUAAAAACGUGUCAACUCUAUUUUGGUCCCAAUUUUGGAAUUUAAAAAUUGGUAAUAUCCCAUUCUACACAUGUGACUCAUCUAACAAGUUAAAACUGCUAUUUCC